UACGUAGGGUGCAAGCGUUGUCCGGAAUUAUUGGGCGUAAAGAGCUCGUAGGCGGUUUGUCGCGUCUGCCGUGAAAGUCCGGGGCUCAACUCCGGAUCUGCGGUGGGUACGGGCAGACUAGAGUGAUGUAGGGGAGACUGGAAUUCCUGGUGUAGCGGUGAAAUUCGCAGAUAUCAGGAGGAACACCGAUGGCGAAGGCAGGUCUCUGGGCAUUAACUGACGCUGAGGAGCGAAAGCAUGGGGAGCGAACAGG
rnacentral:rRNA from 1 species